AUACCAGGAUACUGUUGAGUAGAAGUGUUGAGAAUGGACUACUUGACUGAGGCUGGAUUUUAAGGAGGAAAGCAUCCAGUCUUUCACCCUUAGGUAUGACAGAGCUGUGCAUUUCUGUAGAUGCCCUUUUCAAGUUGGAGCUUCCCUUCUAUUCCUAGUUUGUAGAGCUCUUUCCACUUCAUAUCAUCUCUUUUUCUUCUAGUUAAAUUUUACUAAAGUUUACUCUAUCAGAUAAAAACCGUAGCCAUGAGAUUCCUUUGAGGUAAGACCUUCUUCAUCUUGGGCUUCCUGCAGGGCUAUUGUGAUAUAACACCCUUAAGAUUCUUAGAAGCUCUUUUUUAAAAAAUUGAAUUUAUCCAUGACGAAUAACCUUAAGAUAUUUGUAGCAAGACUUUUCUUUUUUUUUAAAUAUAUAUAUCUGAAAUAUUUCUGAUGUCGCAACAUAAGGUUUUCUGGUCACAGUCUUGGCUUCCUCUGUAGAUAAAGCUCUAUAUUUGAGCUUCCUGAUAACAACUCUCAAUUUGACCUUGCCUGGAAGCCAUUUUUUUUUUUUUUUGAGACGUAGUCUCACUCUGUCACCCAGGCUAGAGUGUAGUGGCAUAAUCUCAGCUCACUGCAAUCUCUGCCUCCCGGGUUUAAGUGACUCUCCUGCCUCAGCCUCCCAAGUAGCUGGGAUUACAGGUGCCCACCACUAUGCCCAACAAAUUUUCUUGUUUUUUUUUUUUUUUUAGUAGAGACCAGGUUUUGCCAUGUUGGCCAGGCUGGUCUCAAACUCCUGACCUCAGGUGAUCUGCCUGCCUCAGCGUCCCUAAGUGCUGGGAUUGCAGGUGUGAGCCACCAUGCCUGAUCUCCAUUUCUUAAUUUUAGUGUUAUUUCCUAUACAGAGAGGCUGGUAAUAAAAUGGAGUUGUAUUUUUGAACGAGUACAUCCUGGUUCCUUUAUGUUUAACAAUUCCUUCUUCAGUUAUAGCUUUCCUCCUGCAUUCUUCUAUGAACAGACGACAGAAGAAGCUAGACAACAUCUUUAACACGCUGCCUGGAAAGCUCCUCAGCUAUAUAUCCAGUUCAUUAGAUCUCCCUUACAGAAGCAAGAAGUUGGACCCAGGCAAAUCUCUGAAUCCACCGAAGAUAGUUGAGACUUGGAUGUUAAAUGAGAUGUUCAGUGAAUCACAACUCUCCUACCACAGAUAUGGGCAUUUGAACACGUGCCCUUGCUAG
rnacentral:lncRNA from 1 species